UACAGAGGGGGCAAGCGUUGUUCGGAAUUACUGGGCGUAAAGGGCGCGUAGGCGGCCUUCUAAGUCGAACGUGAAAUCCCUGGGCUCAACCCAGGAACUGCGUCCGAUACUGGAAGGCUUGAAUCCGGGAGAGGGAUGCGGAAUUCCAGGUGUAGCGGUGAAAUGCGUAGAUAUCGGGAGGAACACCAGUGGCGAAGGCGACUUCCUGGCCUGUUCUUGACGCUGAGGCGCGAAAGCUAGGGGAGCAAACGGGG
rnacentral:rRNA from 1 species